UCCAUAGUCCCCGGUCUGGAUUCUUUUGCAAGGUAGGGAGAGACAAGGCUGGACACGAAUUUUGCCAUAUUACGCUCAAUAGUGAGAGACACCAGCUAGCUACUCGUAGAAGCUAGUAAGAAAAAAGGAUUCAUCUACGAAAAGACAGCCACUCCCCGAUUUUGGUGGACAUACCUCUAUUUAGCAGUGUUGAAGAACAUAUAUCGGGCAUGCGAGCGAGCAGAUAAUCCGAAGGAGAGAAUGGACGACCGGUCAACCUGAGAUUCAACUGGGGGAAACCCGACAUCCCAUUUUCUAGGUAGAAAGUACAGAUUUGUCGGGAUUAAAGCAAAUGGGACGCACUGGGCCUCGAGUCUGAGUGAAGGGAACACAGGGGCGACGCUAAAAACAAAGCAUUUUCUAUACAACAUGUCGGUCUUAUUUUUUUAGCUAGCUAGCUACUAGUACACGUCUAUAUAGCAAGUUGGAGACCGGGACUUCAGUGCUCCAAUAUUGGCCAAAUAAGUAUUUUUCGGUUGCGCUUGAAGGGGGCAGGGUUAGCUCGAUUUCUUCUCCCAUACUAACUCGGGGAGCGAUUCUUCGGCGAAGGGAGUGGUAGCUAAUUGAUAGAAAAAUGUCAGCGAAGGUGCGCCUGAAGAAGUUGGAGCAAUUGCUAGUGGACGGAACUCCAAAUAAUGCAAGUUCACUGAGCGUCGAGACCCUUCUGGAUAUAUUGAUAUGUUUGUACAACGAAUGCAGCAACUCUCCUUUAAAACGGGAGAAGCACGUGACAGACUUUCUGGAAUGGGUGAAGCCGUUCACCACUACCGUGAAGGAGAUGCGUCUGCACAGGGACGACUUCGAGAUGCUCAAGGUGAUCGGCAGGGGAGCAUUUGGCGAGGUUGCGGUGGUGAAGAUGAAAAACACGGAACGCGUGUACGCCAUGAAGAUCCUGAACAAGUGGGAGAUGUUGAAGAGAGCCGAGACGGCGUGUUUCCGCGAGGAGAGGAAUGUUCUGGUGAAUGGAGACUGCCAGUGGAUCACCACCCUACACUAUGCCUUCCAGGACGACAACUUCCUGUACCUGGUGAUGGACUACUAUGUGGGCGGUGACCUCUUGACCCUGCUCAGUAAGUUCGAGGACCGUCUCCCAGAGGACAUGUCCAAGUUCUAUGUGGCAGAGAUGGUGCUGGCCAUCCACUCUAUACACCAACAACACUACGUCCACAGAGAUAUCAAACCAGACAACGUGCUGUUAGACAUGAAGGGUCAUAUCCGUCUGGCCGACUUUGGCUCCUGCCUGAAAAUGAUGCAGGAUGGCACGGUCCAGUCAUCUGUGGCUGUAGGCACUCCGGACUACAUUUCCCCUGAGAUCCUGCAGGCCAUGGAGGACGGCAUGGGCAAGUACGGUCCAGAGUGUGACUGGUGGUCCCUAGGGGUCUGUAUGUACGAGAUGCUCUACGGGGAGACACCCUUCUAUGCAGAGUCCCUGGUGGAGACCUACGGCAAGAUCAUGAACCACGAGGAGCGUUUCCAGUUCCCCUCAAACAUCUGCGACGUGUCGGAGGACGCCAAGGACCUGAUCUCGCGCCUAAUCUGCGGCCGCGAGCGUCGCCUGGGCCAGAAUGGCAUCGGCGACUUCAAGGAUCACCCCUUCUUCGCCGGCAUCGACUGGGAACACAUCCGCUCCACUGAGGCGCCCUACAUCCCCGACGUCAGCUCCCCAUCUGACACCUCCAACUUUGACGUGGACGACGAUAUUCUUAAAAACCCGGACAUCGCUCCUCCAGUCACACACAGCGGUUUCACCGGGCAACAUCUGCCCUUCGUAGGCUUCACCUACACCACGGACAGCUGCUUCUCGGACCGCGGCAGUGUCAACAGGGCCGGCCUGUCCGAUGGGAGCUCCCAGGAUGGGGGAGGAGAAGAGGGGGUUCCCCCGGACCAGGAGGGGGGGCUGGAAGUGGAAGCCUUUGAGAGGAGGAUCCGCCGACUGGAGCAGGAGAAGCAGGAGCUGAACCGGAAGCUGCAGGAGUCCACUCAAGCAGUGCAGUCUCUCCACGGGCCGGGGCGCGGGGCCAGCACCCUGGGCCGGGACAAGGAGAUGAAGAAGCUCAACGAGGAGAUUGACCGGCUCAAGAAGAAACUGGCAGACUCUGAUAGGCUGGAGCACCAGCUAGAGGAGGCGGUGACUCUGCGCCAGGACUACGAGAGCUCCUCCUCCAAGCUGAAGGCCCUGGACAAACAGGUUAAAGCCCUGAGACAGGAGAAGGAGGAGAUCCACAAGCAACUGGUGGAGUCCCUGGAGCGCCUCAAGUCCCAGACCAAGGAGCUGAAGGAGGCCCACAGCCAGCGGAAGCUGGCCCUACAGGAGUUCUCUGAGCUAAGCGAGCGCAUGGCUGAGCUGCGUUCCACCAAGCAACGCCUCUCACGCCAGCUCCGCGACAAGGAGGAGGAGAUGGACGCUGCUGUGCAGAAGGUGGACGCCAUGCGUCAGGACAUCCGCAAGACCGAGAAGGCCCGCAAGGAGUUGGAGGCCCAGUUGGAGGAUGCCAAGGCAGAGGCGUCUAAGGAGCGAAAGCUGCGCGACCACAGCGAAGUCUAUUCUAAACAGCUGGAGAUGGAGCUUGAGACCCUCAAGGUGAAGCAGCAGGGUAGCGGGCGUGGGGCUGGGAGCAGCAGCCCAGAGCUGCAGCAGGAACUGUCCAAGGUGAAGUCUGAGCUGGACAAGAAGGUGCUGUUCUACGAGGAGGAGCUGGUGCGCCGCGAGGCCUCCCACACCAGUGAGCUCAAGGGCCUCCGGAAGGAGCUCCACGACUCAGAGGGCCAGCAGCUCUCCCUCCACAAGGAGCUGCUCAUGCUCAAGGACAAGCUGGAGAAAGCCAAGAGAGAGAGACAAACCGAGACGGAUGAGGCAGUGGGCGCUCUAAAGGACAAGUACGAGCGUGAGCGCAGCAUGCUGACCGAGGACAACCGCAAGCUGACCACAGAGGCUGACAGGCUGUGUACGUUUGUGGACAAGCUGACCGCUCAGAACCGCCAGCUGGAGGAUGAGCUGCAAGACUUGGCCUCUAAGAAGGAGAGCGUGGCUCACUGGGAAGCCCAGAUCGCUGAGAUCAUCCAGUGGGUGAGUGAUGAGAAGGAUGCCCGCGGCUACCUGCAGGCCCUGGCCUCCAAGAUGACUGAGGAGCUGGAGUCUCUCCGCAGCUCCAGCCUGGGCCCACGACCCCUGGACCCCCUGUGGAAGGUGCGACGCAGCCAGAAGCUGGACAUGUCGGCCCGUCUGGAGCUGCAGUCGGCCCUGGACGCCGAGAUACGGGCCAAGCAGCUGGUCCAGGAGGAGCUUCGCAAGGUCAAGGCCUCCAACAUCUCCUUCGAAAGCAAACUGAAGGAUUCAGAGUCCAGGAGCAGGGAUAUGGUGGAGCAGCUGGAGAUCAUGAAGAAGGACUUGGAGGAGAGCCGUUCCCGCUCAGACAAAGGUCUGAAACUGCCCGAUUUCCAGGACUCCAUUUUCGAGUACUUCAACACCUCUCCACUGGCCCACGGCCUGACGUUCAGAGAAUCGGUCUCUUCCUCAUCCGCAUCCUCUCUGCUAGCGUUUUGGGAUGAAACCAGCUCUGUCAGCGAGAUAGAUGCCACGCCCCAGAGGUCAGACGUCCCUUCCUCGUCGCCCUCCGUGGCCUCUGAGCAGGAUGAGCCAAUCCCCAAGCCCACUGCUGUUACCCCUACCGUCCCCUCCCCGGUCUAUCCAACAUCGCUGCUGACCACACCAAAGCCCAAAGCUCACCAGCUGAGCAUCAAGACCUUCUCCAGCCCCACCCAGUGCACGCACUGCACUUCCUUGAUGGUGGGUCUCAUCCGCCAGGGCUACGCCUGCGAAGUGUGCUCCUUCAUCUGCCAUGUAUCCUGUAAGGACAAUGCCCCCCAGGUGUGCCCCAUCCCCCCUGAGCAGGCCAAGAGGCCUCUGGGCAUCGACGUACAGAGGGGCAUCGGCACCGCCUACAAGGGCUUCGUCAGGAUCCCCAAGCCCACGGGGGUAAAGAAGGGCUGGCAACGGGCGUACGCCGUGGUGUGUGAUUGUAAACUCUUCCUGUACGAGGUGCCUGAGGGCAAGUCCACCCAGCCAGGCGUGGUGACCAGUCAGGUCCUGGACCUGAGAGAUGAGGAGUUUUCUGUCAGCUCUGUCCUGGCCUCAGACGUCAUCCACGCCACCCGCAAAGACGUCCCCUGCAUAUUCAGGGUGACGUCGUCCCUGCUGAGCUCGCCGGCGGGUGCCGUCUCCCUGCUUGUGCUGGCUGAGAGCGAGGUUGAGAAGAAGAAGUGGAUGGGCAUCCUGGAGAGCCUGCAGAGCAUCCUGGCCAAGAACCGCUUGAGGAACCGCGUAGUGCACGUCCUGCACGAGGCCUACGACUCCUCGCUGCCCGCCAUCAAGACCACGCUCUGCGCCGCCAUCGUCGAUCGAGAGCGUAUCGCCCUGGGAACAGAGGAAGGUCUGUUUGUAGUGGAGGUCACCAGAGAUGUGAUCGUGCGGGCGGCCGACUGCAAGAAGGUGCACCAGAUGGAGCUGAUCCCCAAAGAGAAGAUGAUGGCCCUGCUGUGUGGACGCAACAGACACGUGCACCUGCACCCCUGGGGGGUGCUGGAGGGGGCCGAGGCGGCCUUCGACAUCAAGCUGACAGAGACCAAGGGUUGCCAGGCACUGACCACGGGCGUGCUACGCCCCGGGGGACCCGCCUGCCUGCUGGCCGCCGUCAAGCGCCAGGUUCUGUGUUAUGAGAUCACCCGGGCCAAGCCGCACCACCGCAAGCUGUGGGAGGUGCAAGCCCCGGGGGUGGCCCAGUGGCUGGGCAUGGUGCGCGAGCGCCUGUGUGUGGGAUACCCCUCAGGUUUUGCCCUGUUGGCCCUCCAGGGCGAGUCGUCGCCCGUCAGCCUGGUGAGCCCCGGGGACCCGUCGCUAGCCUUCCUGGCCCAGCAGCCCCUGGAUGCGCUGCACGCCCUGGAGGUGGGCACGACCGAGCUGUUACUCUGCUUCAGCCAGCUGGGUAUCUAUGUGGACCCCACUGGGAAGAGGAGCAGGGCCCAGGAGCUGAUGUGGCCCGCCACGCCGCUCGCCUGCAGCUCCAACUCCUCCUACCUUACGGUGUACAGCGAGUAUGGGGUGGAUGUGUUUGACAUACACACCACUGAGUGGGUCCAGACAAUUUCACUGAGGAAGUUAAGGCCUCUGAAUGUGGAGGGCAGUUUGAACCUGCUGGGCUCUGAACAACCGCGCCUCAUCUACUUCAGCAACAACUCCACAGAAGGUGACCUGGCCAUCCCUGAGACAUCUGACAACAGUAAGAAGCUGAUGGUGAGAACGCGCAGUAAGAGGAAGUUCCUCUUCAAGGUCCCGGAAGAGGAGAGACUGCAGCAGAGGAGAGAGAUGCUGAGGGACCCUGAGCUUAGGUCCAAGUUGAUCUCCAACCCAAUCAACUUUAACCACGUGGCACACAUGGGCCCCGGCGACGGCAUGCAGGUCCUCAUGGAUCUGCCUCUGAGUGUGAUGCAUUCUUCUCAGGAUGACCCGGCCAAGGACAAGCCCCGCCCACUCUCCAGUAUCUCCCGGCAACAGAGGAGCAUGAGCCACAUCACCCGCACGGCCUCUGGAGGUGCAGACUUUGGAGGAGCAGGAUCGUCUCGGAACAUCUCCGACCCAGACGGGGACUUUGAGAGAGAGCCGGACUCCGACUCCACCAAGCACUCCACCCUCUCCAACAGCUCCGACCCCAGCAGCCCUCCCAGCCCCAACUCCCCCCACCGCAGCCAGCAAACACUGGAUGGCCUGGAGCACACCCUGGACGGCUGAGGAGCCCACCCACCCACACACACCUGACAUACGCACACCUUACACACACACACACACACACACACACACACACAUAAUGCGUGCUUAAUCACUCAACACCUACAUUCGACAUAGAACUUGUGUAACGCUGCAAAGUGCCAAGAACAGACUUUGUGGACAAAAUGCCACCGCUGAAGCCUUUUCUGCGUGUGACGAGCAUAGACCCUCCCAAAAAAAAAGUGAGGGGCACAUGGUUAUUUGAAGCUAACGCUAAAAAAAAAUAAUAGAAUCAGCCAGUAUAGAUUUGUUUCUGUUUUUGUUUUUCUUCAUUUCAGGCCAUAAAUGUUUCCUAUGAGUUAAGGUUAUUAUUACUUAGUUGAAAUGAUCAAUACAUAUAGGUGAGAUGGGGCUGAAUUAAAAACAGAGAUUACUGAUAGGGGGGGGGGGGGG